AAUUAAAUUUCUUUUCUGGAAAAUUAUGAAUCACCCCUUGAUUUUUGAUAUAUGUGGAUGAUAUUCUGUUUUUUGAUUGUCUAUACUUGUGUUUUUGCUUUGAAGGAAUCUAGGAAUCUUUUCAGUUUUUGGGUGAUAUUUUUUUUUUGGUUUGUUGGUUUUUUUAUUAGGUUUUGGACAUUUGAUUUGUCCAGGUUGACUAACAAAAGAUGGAUUUCUUUAAGGUUAUCUAAUUGCUGAUUUACUACGAUUUUAGAAAAGUCUUGAUUUUAGGUUAGUAAGGGUAUAUCUGAAUUGAUGAGCAUGAUCAUCUACAGUUGUGUUAGUUGGUUGUUGUAUCAUCUGAUGAUGCUUUUCCCUUUUAUCCAUCUAGUUGAAUCUGUAGCAUAACUUUCCCUUUUUACCUGUGAUGUAAAUAAAUUAUUAUUCUGCCUUUUGUGUUUAUUUUAUAUAAUCAGGCUAAGUAUGAGAUUGAUAAUGGUAGAAGCUUUUUUGAUGUUGGUACAUAUGACAAUCAAGUUGGAUGGCACUAUUUGUGGUUUGGAGAUAUAACAAUCGUGGUUGGAACUUAGUUGCAGUAUUUCUGUCUUAAGUUAGAAAUUUUGUCAUUUUAAGUACCACUUGAACUUCUUAGUCGCUAAUCCGUUAUCGAGUUAGUCUCAACUCCUUGUUUGUCCUGUGAUGCUUUAAUCCCUUUGUUUGUUCUUCUGGGGUGGGGAGGUUGAGACUUCAACCAUCUUCUGCUGGACAACGUGUGCAGGAUUAUGGACCGGCUUCCUGUCUUGAAUGAAGAAAAUAUUUGCUGAGGCUGUAAACUUCUUGGCACAAAGAUUCUUCAGGUGUCCCUUCUCCGUGACAACAUUUUGGAAGGAAGAAGCCUGUAAACUUAAUCUUAAGUUGCACUAUUCAAUCAAAAUGUUUGGAGGCAACAAUAGCAAUCAUGCAUUUCCUAUGUUUCUGGACGAGAAUCGUUUUCAGCUUAAUACUAAUGCACCAAACCACCAACUUCAGCUCUUUGGGAACUGAUGAGUGUUGUUAUUAUGGUGGAAGAGGCGAAGACCUUAGUUUGUAAAGUGCUCAAAAGGCUCAUAAAUCUUUGGCUAAUGGAAAAAGAAGAAUUAGAAGCUCACAUGGAAAAAGACAGCCUCUCCAUGAUUGCAUUGAGUACAGCUGACAGACUUGGUUCUAGGAAGAGUUGGAUCUGCAGCAACACCUUGUACAACCUGAGUUGGAUUUGCAGCAACUUCUCUGUAUAUGCUGCAAUUGUUAUCAUCUGCAGCCUCCUAAGCAGUAGAAUGUCACGAGCCAUCUCUAAAAAGUCCCCACACCGAGGCAACAAGGCAUCCAAGGCAGCAUCGUAGUGCAUCGCUUGGCCGCAAGGCAGCAACAUGGGCCACAGGGGCACCCAUGGGCGCUGGCAGCAGGGAGGAGCACCCACCCCCUAUAGAGGAAAAUAUUGAAUUAGCUAUAAUUUCCCAGUGAACACGCCUAUGACAGUAACAUAAUAAUGGGCUGUUUGGUGGACCAAAUGAGUUUGGAUUGGGCUCAAACUUGGGGGUCCCACAUAUUUUGACCCAAUGAAGAUAAUGGUCGGGCCAGAAUUGGAUUUCGAGGCCCGCUUGGGCCCGAUGGUGCAGCAAGGUCCUUGGAAUGCCUCCGGAAGACUCUAGAAUACACUUGGGCAUUCUAGCUUGGAUUUCUCUAGAGCAUUCUAGCAUGGAUGACUCUAGAACACUCUUGUACAUACUUGUGUGUAUUUUCUAGAACCCUCCAUGUAUUUUCUGAUUUUCUUAGGAGGUAGGAAUAUUCUAGAAAUGUAUAGAGAGCUCCUUUGAGAGAGCCUUGUAGAAUAUUCUAGAGUAGAAGUCUCUAGGCCACCAAGGCACUAUAAAUAGGUCUUGGCAUUCAUUUGUACAAAGCAUCAAACACUUGUAAUUCUCUCUCAAGCAAUACAAAGCAUUCUUUAAAAGCCAUA